GAAGCUCGUUUCUACAGGUUUC
rnacentral:miRNA from 1 species